AAAGACUGAGAGGAGCAGCAGGAGUUCUUCAUCUGUAUAGUUGCGUUAAUACUUUGAGGAGCAGUUAACAGACGUUUGUUCUCAAACCUUAUUUCCUCAAAAGGGAGCGCAGAAAAGCAUGGGAUAAUUUGGAAAAAUCUUUUAGCCGGUUUAUUUAUUCAUGUGUUCCCCAAGACUCAUCCCUGCUGCUUUUGGUUUGCACAGUUUACAGACGUUUGUUCUCAAACCUUAUUUCCUCAAAAGGGAGCGCAGAAAAGCAUAGGAUAAUUUGGAAAAAUCUUCAGCUCAGCACACAGAUUACAUGACAACCCCCUGAUUGACUUGGGAUUGGAGGCCCAAAAUUUUAGGGUCUGAGGUUAGGCUCCAACAUCUUGAAAACGAUGCUGAAAAGUUGCUGGAGAUAUCUUUAUGCGAGGAUUUCUACACUGGAGACUCUUUUACUUUUGAACUUGGUCAAAAUUACGUCUACUCUAUAGACGAGGACGACGAGGAAGAAGAUGAAGACAACAAAUUGUUAAUGGAGUUUUUAUCGGACCCGAAAUCCUCAAAAUCCUGCACUUUCACAUUCAAGUUUGAGAAACCACCAAAAGAGUCAAUGAGGGCUUUAUUUGUGCUGGAAUUGGUUCACCAAGGUGAUGAUAAAGAGAAUCUAUGCCUUACUAAUAUACUUCAUUUUACAAAAGACGAUUACGAGUACGUGUAUGAAAAUUGCCUGGAGCUAGAGUAUCUAGAGGAUAAAAAGUUUAUUCAUACUCACAGGUCUAGUCGAUAUCUCUCUUUUAAUAUCCACAUCCAUCAUUUAAGGGAACCGGAAGAUCCUGGGUUUCCAUGCAUGUACAUGUCACCAAUUUUAAGGUCAUACAUGCUAAGUUUUUACGGACUGGAGGUUAUAGGUGCACUGAAAGAUGCUUGUGCUGAGUUGGCCCAAGAUUUGUCACUGU